GCUGCUGCUGCUGCUGCUGUUGUUCAGAGUAAGGAGAUCCUGAAGUUUUGGAUUCAGUUGGGGGCGGAACAGAGGAUCUACGACGGAACUCCGCGAGAUUCUUUCUUAUUUCUUCAAUAGAAGCAAUUUUUCUUGCCGGUCCCGAGAUAGAAGGAUUGACGUUCGACGGUUCUCUAAGAGGAGGCAAGUUGGGUCUAUUUAGUCGGUUUUGGGAUUGUGGGUUUUGCAUCUGUUGCUUGAGGCUGGCUUUGACAUCAGGGAAGAAAGAAGAAAACGAGGCUUGUUGUUGCUGUGGUGGUGGUGGUUGCGAAUGAGAAUCGUUGGCAUCUUGAUCGGUAAAUUGGUCGCUGGGUGGGGUUGUGGACGACGACGACGACGACGACGA
rnacentral:misc_RNA from 1 species